rnacentral:rRNA from 1 species
UACGUAGGCAGCAAGCGUUGUUCGGAGUUACUGGGCGUAAAGAGUGUGUAGGCGGUGCUCUAAGUUCGGUGUGAAAUCUCCCGGCUUAACUGGGAGGGUGCGCCGGAAACUGGAGUGCUCGAGCGUGGGAGAGGAAAGCGGAAUUCCUGGUGUAGCGGUGAAAUGCGUAGAUAUCAGGAGGAACACCGGUGGCGAAGGCGGGUCUCUGGGCCGAUACUGACGCUGAGGAGCGAAAGCGUGGGGAGCGAACAGG